AAACCGGUUGAUCCUGCCGGACUUGACCGCUAUCGGGCUGAGACUAAGCCAUGCAAGUCGUACGUUUCAAGCCGCUGAAACGUGGCGCACUGCUCAGUAACACGUUGUCAAUCCACCCUCAGGACAGGGACAACCUCGGGAAACUGAGGAUAAUCCCCGAUAGACGACACGGCCUGGAAUGGUGUGCCCUCCAAAAGACCCAAUGGCACGCUCAUUGGCGCCGCCUGAGGACGAGACUGCGUCUGAUUAGGUAGUUGGUGGGGUAGAGGCGUAACAAUCCAAAACAAAACCAAUACAAACCAAAACAAAAAAAGAGUAUCCACAAUCACAAAGCGGGUACUCAAGUAUUGGCGGAAUGUUACACUACAAGCCCACCAAGCCGAUAAUCAGUACGGGCCACGGGAGUGGUAGCCCGGAGAUGGGGACUGAGACAAGGCCCCAGGCCCUACGGGGCGCAGCAGGCGCGAAAACUCCGCAAUGCACGAAAGUGUGACGGGGCCAGCCCGAGUGCCAACUGAAAAUGUUGGCUUUUCACCUGCGUAAAUAGCUGGUGGAAUAAGGGGAGGGCAAGGCUGGUGCCAGCCGCCGCGGUAAAACCAGCUCCUCGAGUAGUCAAGACGAUUAUUGGGCCUAAAGCGUCCGUAGCCGGCCUAGUAAGUCUCUGGUUAAAUCUAACGGCUCAACCGUUAGGCUGCUAGAGAUACUGCUAGACUCGGAGGCGGGAUAGGUCGAGGGUACUCUCAGGGUAGGGGUGAAAUCCUAUAAUCCUGAGGGGACCACCAGUGGCGAAGGCGCUCGACUGGAACGCGCUCGACGGUGAGGGACGAAAGCUAGGGGAGCGAACCGGAUUAGAUACCCGGGUAGUCCUAGCCGUAAACGAUGUGGACUAAGUGUUAGGGCGGCCACGAGCUGCCCUAGUGCUGGAGGGAAGCCGUUAAGUCCACCGCCUGGGGAGUACGGCCGCAAGGCUGAAACUUAAAGGAAUUGGCGGGGGAGCACCACAAGGGGUGAAGCCUGCGGUUUAAUUGGACUCAACGCCGGAAAUCUUAUCGGGAGCGACAGCAGCAUGAAGGCCAGGCUGAUGACCUUGCCUAACGAGCUGAGAGGAGGUGCAUGGCCGUCGCCAGUUCGUGCCGUGAGGUGUCCUGUUAAGUCAGGCAACGAACGAGACCCUUGCCCUUAGUUGCCAGCGGGACUUCAAAUAGUUGCCGGGCACACUAAGGGGACUGCCAUCGAUAAGAUGGAGGAAGGUAAGGGCAACGGCAGGUCAGUAUGCCCCGAAUCUCCCGAGCCACACGCGGGCUGCAAUGGCUAGAACAAUGGGUUCCAACAUCGAAAGGUGAAGGUAAUCCCCCAAACCUAGUCUCAGUUGGAAUCGAGGGCUGUAACCCGCCCUCGUGAACAUGGAAUCCCUAGUAAUCGCGUGUCAUCAUCGCGCGGUGAAUACGUCCCUGCUCCUUGCACACACCGCCCGUCGCUCCACCCGAGUCAAUUCGUGAUGAAACUUAAUCCUUCGGGUUGUGUUGAAUCACGGGUCGGCGAGGGGGGAGAAGUCGUAACAAGGUAGCCGUAGGGGAACCUGCGGCUGGAUCACCUCCU
rnacentral:rRNA from 1 species